rnacentral:lncRNA from 1 species
AAAAGGAUGAUUAAUAGAAAUAGAAGAAAGAUUCAGAAAGAAUGGGGAAUUAAGGGAGGGGAUAGAAGAAGAAUUCAAUAGAAGAAGGGGAGGGAUGCGCCAUAAGCCACCAAAAUAAUUAUUCAUUCAUCAUCAACUGAAAGUUACAAUGCAAAAUAGGUUUAAAUAGUAAAGCAACCCUAACGAGCUUGGGCCCGAGCCCAUACAAGUCCAAAUUUAAAUAAUAGUCCAAGAAAAUAAAUAAAGCUUAAAUAAAAUAAGUAAACGUCAUCCGAUAUCCUCAUCAACUCUUCCGGGGUGGGAGAAAAACUCAACCCUAUCGAGUUGAUAGAUGGUAUAGGCUGCAGUCAAUCUGAUACUCCAAAUGCUUCAAGUCAAGCCACGGGGGACGAUUUUCUGACGAACCAAGUAACGAAAUUCCAUAAUUGAUAGUACUAAAAACUGUAGCUUAUUCCCAAGAAUAUGAUCUGACCAAGGGGGCCGAUCUUUCCUUCUAACCAAGUACUGAUACUGGACUUCAAAUAACCAAUACUCAUGCACCUCAUCUUCAACAUUUUCACAUGAUUGUACAUAAUGAGGAGUAUAAGAAGCACGUCGAUCUCCCCAACAAACAAGGAAGUACUGAAUUUUGCCAUCAUUGGUCAAUACAACACGUUCAUCUAAAAUAACAUCAAUUUUAUCUUUGUGUGCUGUGAUAGAUGGUAUUAAAGUAGAAAUAUCAAUAUAGUCAAAUUGGGGGUCCACAAAGUUAGGUAGAAAUGGAUCAUCAAAGGAAGUAAUAC